GGCAGCCUGUCAUUAUCCAGAAGCAUCGUUUUGAUCGGUUGUUGGUUGCUUCCUGCUUCUCCCUUCUUCGUCUUCUUUACAUAUGCAAUUUCCGUUUUCUUCAUUUAUCAUUUACCCGUAAAAAAGAAAAUGGCUGCAAGAGGAAGUGGAGAAGCUGUGCUUGAAUGUCUGUCUUUGUUUAUAGUACUUCACUUUUUUUUCGUAUCUGCCAACUUCUUUAAGCCGUUCAAUGUUAGCUAUGACCACCGGGCUCUGAUCAUCAAUGGUCAACGCCGUAUGCUCAUUUCCGGUGGAAUUCACUACCCUCGCGCUACUCCUGAGAUGUGGCCUGAUCUGAUAGCAAAGAGCAAGGAAGGUGGGGUAGAUGUUAUUCAAACUUAUGUGUUUUGGAAUGGGCAUGAGCCAGUUAAAGGACAGUAUUUCUUUGAAGGAAGGUAUGAUAUUGUCAAGUUUGUGAAGCUAGUGGGAGCUAGUGGACUCUAUCUUCAUCUCCGCAUAGGUCCUUAUGUUUGCGCUGAAUGGAAUUUUGGGGGCUUCCCUGUGUGGCUGCGUGAUAUCCCUGGCAUAGUAUUUCGAACAAACAACGAUCCUUUUAAGGAGGAGAUGCAGCGGUUUGUGAAAAAGAUUGUGGAUCUAAUGCGGGAGGAAAUGCUAUUCUCUUGGCAGGGUGGCCCAAUCAUCUUGUUGCAGAUUGAAAAUGAAUAUGGAAACAUUGAACACUCAUUUGGGCCAGGGGGAAAGGAAUAUGUUAAGUGGGCUGCCAGGAUGGCUGUAGGGCUCGGUGCUGGGGUUCCAUGGAUAAUGUGCAGGCAAACUGAUGCCCCUGAGAACAUUAUAGAUGCUUGCAAUGCAUAUUAUUGUGAUGGUUAUAAGCCAAAUUCCCAUAAGAAACCAAUAUUUUGGACAGAAGAUUGGGAUGGAUGGUAUACAACUUGGGGUGGGAGGUUGCCUCAUAGGCCGGUUGAAGACCUUGCAUUUGCAGUUGCACGCUUUUUUGAACGUGGGGGGAGCUUCCAGAAUUAUUAUAUGUAUUUUGGUGGAACAAACUUUGGUCGGACUGCUGGAGGCCCCUUCUAUAUAACUAGUUAUGACUAUGAUGCUCCAAUUGAUGAAUAUGGUCUGCUGAGUGAGCCCAAGUGGGGGCAUUUGAAAGAUCUGCAUGCUACUAUAAAGCUUUGUGAACCAGCUCUAGUUGCUGCAGAUUCACCUCAGUACAUAAAAUUGGGAUCCAAGCAAGAGGCACAUGUGUACCGUAUAGAUUCUCACACUGACGGCCUGAACUCAACUUGGCAUGAAAGUCAAAGUGGGUGCUCGGCAUUUCUUGCAAAUAUUGAUGAAUGCAAAGCAGCUACUCUGAGAUUCCUUGGUCAAUCAUAUACUUUACCACCAUGGUCAGUGAGUAUAUUACCAGACUGCAGGAAUGCUGUGUUCAACACUGCCAAGGUUACAGCACAAACUUCUAUCAAAUCUGUAGAGCUUGAUUUGUCUUAUCUUUCAAAUGUUUCUUCACUUCAGCAAUUCAUGGCUCAGAAUGAAGGUUCUAAUAUGCAAACAUCCUGGGUGACAAUAAAAGAGCCAAUUAGUGUUUGGAGUGAGAACAAUUUUACAGUUGAAGGCAUAUUGGAGCAUUUGAAUGUAACAAAGGAUCAAUCUGACUAUCUUUGGUAUUUCACCAGAAUAUAUGUUUCUGAUGAGGACAUUGCGUUUUGGGAGGAAAACAAAGUUAGACCUGCAGUUACAAUAGAUAGCAUACGUGAUGUGUUCCGUGUAUUUAUUAACGGUCAGCUUGCAGGCAGUGUGAUUGGUCGGUGGGAUAAGGUGAUGCAGCCAGUUCAGUUUCAGAAGGGAUACAAUGACUUGGUGUUGUUGUCUCAAACAGUGGGUUUGCAGAAUUAUGGUGCCUUCUUAGAAAGAGAAGGAGCAGGUUUUAAAGGCCAAACUAAGCUUACCGGAUUUAAGGAUGGGGAUAUAGACCUCUCGAACUUGUUAUGGACCUACCAGGUGGGACUUCAGGGUGAGUAUCUUAAAAUAUACGGCCAGGGAAAUAAUGAAAUGGUAGAAUGGACUGAUUUGACGCAUGAUGACAUUCCAUCAACAUUUACAUGGUACAAGACUUACUUUGAUGCACCGGCUGGGGCUGACCCAGUUGCUCUUGAUUUGGGAAGCAUGGGAAAGGGUCAGGCAUGGGUCAAUGGCCACCAUAUAGGAAGAUACUGGACACUGGUUGCUCCUGAAGAUGGAUGCCAAAGAAAUUGUGAUUAUCGGGGAGCCUACAGUUCUGGGAAAUGUACAACAAAUUGUGGGAAUCCUACUCAAACCUGGUACCACAUCCCACGGUCAUGGUUACGUGCAUCAAAUAAUUUGCUUGUGUUAUUCGAGGAGACAGGAGGAAAUCCAUUUGAAAUUUCAAUAAAGUUGCGUUCAGCCCGUGUGAUCUGUGCUCAAGUGUCACAAACCCACUAUCCACCUCUUCAGAAGUGGGUCCAUCCAGAUUUUAUUGGUGGAAAUAUUUCAGUUAAAGAUAUGACACCAGAAAUACAGUUACAGUGUCAAGAUGGAUAUAUAAUCUCCUCCAUAGAAUUUGCUAGCUAUGGAACUCCUCAAGGGAGCUGCCAGAAAUAUUCUAGAAGCAAUUGCCAUGCACCCAAUUCAUUAUCUGUAGUGGCCAAGGCUUGUGAAGGAAGAAGCAAAUGCAAUAUUUCAGUUUCAAAUGCUGCAUUUGGAGGUGACCCAUGCCAUGGCAUUGUUAAAACAUUGGCCGUUGAGGCAAGAUGCGUCUCAUCAACAAAAGUUGGUUCCUUUCAGUAUUGAAGUCACAAGCUGUCAGUGUAGUUGACGAUCCUAAAGCAUAGAACAUCGCAGAUUGGCAUUUUAUGAUAUUAUCAACUCCUGCCCAUAUUUUCAAGUGAGUUGAUCAGAGAUGUUUCAAUGCUGGAAGCCAUUUAUAUAGGAUUCUUUGGAGUUUGGAGGCUUGUGUAGGUGUUGGGAACAACACUGGUAUCUGUAACUUAUUACUGAACUAAAAUAUUUGUCUCUAUACAUUAACACUCGCAGUCGCAGAGAUGUUCACAAAAAAUUUCUUGCUGAAUUAUCCUCUCUUCCGAGCCAUGGACUGAUAUAAAAUACUUGGAAAUGUCAGCAUGUGGAUCUACUACAGCCUAGUCUAUCAAAGAAAAGUCACCGUACUAUGAUGAAUGAUGACACAUUAAUUUUCGAGACAAGAAGACGUAUGGCGAGGGAUAAAGUUUGGCUGAUUGUGGUUACUACGAGGUGUGAUGAAUGAUGAUAGUUCCGCUGCCGCGUAAUUUUGCAUCGUUCAAACAAGGAUAUACCAUUGUCAAGAAUCAUAUACUCCUAUGGAUUCUUCUAAUGUGUGAUUUAUAAUAAUGAGGUUGAAUAUAUAUUCUUACCCUUGAAUUUUACUAAAAAAGUUUUGUGGCGUUUUUAAUUGUCUUAAUUCUGUAAACAUUUCAUGAUAAAUUAAACUUCUGUAAAAGUAAAAU
rnacentral:misc_RNA from 1 species